rnacentral:RNase_P_RNA from 1 species
CAGAGGGAGCCCGACUCCCGUGCCUCUGGCAUGAGGAAAGUCCCCCCACCGGCCGGACGGGCGACCGGGCACACGCCCGGAGUCGGAGACGGCUGGCUCUGGAACAGCAACGACACCCCCCGCCCCGACCGAUGAUCCGCGUUCGGUCGCCUCGGCGACCGUCGGCGUUCGCGGGUACCCCCGCGAACGCGCGAACCGACCCGCAAGGGAAGGGAGUUAACCCGGAGAGGGCGCGUGGCUCCGCCGCGUCGGCGUGGCUUCGUCACGUCGGCGCGGCUCGGCCACGUCACAGACGGGUGGGAACGGAUGGAACGGCGAAUCCUCGCCGGUGCAAGUCCGCGCCACAAGGUAGUCCGGCCACGGCGCGGACGCUCAGCCGAAUGUCGGGACGAACCGAAGGGGGCUUACUCCCCUCAGU